GAUCUCUAAAAGAGUCCAAACCAAUCGCUCGGACCUUCAUGACAGUAAGCAGUCAUGCCCUCCUACUAGAAGCAUCAAAUACCCAAUUCAAAGAUCCUAACCUAUGCUUUGGAGGUGGUACUCCUGCAGACAGAAAAUUCACCUAACUCACACACCGAUUACCCAGCAUAUCCUUCCCUUGAAAAUUCCUCAAAGUCUCCUGAUCGAUGAGUAGAAUAAACACUUGAUGUCAAAGCCUCUAAUGCCAGAGAGCUUGAACAACCACAUAAAAUUAAGCAUCAUGAGUAGGUGAAUAUAGCUUCUCAAUGAAGAAUGUUAUGUGCCUUCCUUCUUGACAGAGAAUAUAUAGGUCCAACUUCCUUUGAAGAAGCAUCACACUCCACCACAAAACUUUAUUGAAAUUAGGAAGAGCUAAAGACUGGUGUGGCUUAAAUCUCUUGAUUUUGAUUUUGUCCAAGCUCGUCGGCCCUCUGGUGUCCAUUGGAAAGACUUUCCCUUCGAACAAUCAAUGGUUGGUGCCAUCAAACUGCGAAAUCCUCAAAACUGUGGUGCCAUGCAUCCAUGGCAACUACAUAUCACCGAACUUCUUCAAAAUACUUUUACUCAAUCGAAAACAAUACCAAACAUCCACUAUCUAUGGUAAUAUCACUUCCCUUCUGGAACCAAGAAAGCUUAUAAGGCCAGGGAUGCUUCUCUAUAGGUAGAGUUACUUUGUAAUAGCCUCUUGAGAUGUGACAUUCUCCUAGCUUUCCCUAUUCAUUACGACCUU
rnacentral:lncRNA from 1 species